GACGGAGGGAGCAAGCGUUGCUCGGAAUGAUUGGGCGUAAAGGGUGCGUAGGUGGUUUUUUAAGUGGAAUGUUAAAAAUUCGGACUCAAUCUGAGGAAUGCAUUUCAUACUGAAAAACUCGAGUGUGGGAGAGGAAACAGGAAUUCCUCAUGUAGAGGUGAAAUUCGUAGAUAUGAGGAGGAACACCAGAGGCGAAGGCGAGUUUCUGGAACACUACUGACACUGAGGCACGAAAGCGUGGGGAGCAAACAGG
rnacentral:rRNA from 1 species